rnacentral:rRNA from 1 species
UACAGAGGUGGCAAGCGUUGUUCGGAAUUACUGGGCGUAAAGGGCGGGUAGGCGGCCACCGCAAGUCGACUGUGAAAUCUCCGGGCUUAACCCGGAAAGGUCAGCCGAUACUGCGGGGCUAGAGUGCAGAAGGGGCAACUGGAAUUCUCGGUGUAGCGGUGAAAUGCGUAGAUAUCGAGAGGAACACCUGCGGCGAAGGCGGGUUGCUGGGCUGACACUGACGCUGAACUGCGAAAGCUAGGGGAGCGAACGGG